UACGUAGGGUCGCAAGCGUUGUCCGGAAUUAUUGGGCGUAAAGAGCUCGUAGGCGGCUUGUCACGUCGGGUGUGAAAGCCCGGGGCUUAACCCCGGGUCUGCAUUCGAUACGGGCUAGCUAGAGUGUGGUAGGGGAGAUCGGAAUUCCUGGUGUAGCGGUGAAAUGCGCAGAUAUCAGGAGGAACACCGGUGGCGAAGGCGGAUCUCUGGGCCAUUACUGACGCUGAGGAGCGAAAGCGUGGGGAGCAAACAGG
rnacentral:rRNA from 1 species